CGCCCAGACUCCUACGGGAGGCAGCAGUGGGGGAUAUUGCACAAUGGGGGGAACCCUGAUGCAGCGACGCCGCGUGAGUGAAGAAGUCUUUCGGUAUGUAAAGCUCUAUCAGCAGGGAAGAAAAUGACGGUACCUGACUAAGAAGCCCCGGCUAACUACGUGCCAGCAGCCGCGGUAAUACGUAGGGGGCAAGCGUUAUCCGGAUUUAUUGGGUUUAAAGGGUGCGCAGGCGGCGAGUUAAGUCAGCGGUAAAAUGUGGGGGCUCAACCCCGACAAGCCGUUGAAACUGGCUUGCUAGAGUGGGCGAGAAGUAUGCGGAAUGCGUGGUGUAGCGGUGAAAUGCAUAGAUAUCACGCAGAACUCCGAUUGCGAAGGCAGCAUACCGGCGCCCAACUGACGCUCAGGCACGAAAGCGUGGGUAUCGAACAGGAUUAGAUACCCGGGUAUA
rnacentral:rRNA from 1 species